rnacentral:rRNA from 1 species
UACGAAGGGUGCAAGCGUUAAUCGGAAUUACUGGGCGUAAAGCGCGCGUAGGUGGUUCAGUAAGUUGGAAGUGAAAUCCCCGGGCUCAACCUGGGAACUGCUUUCAAAACUGCUGAGCUAGAGUACGGUAGAGGGUAGUGGAAUUUCCUGUGUAGCGGUGAAAUGCGUAGAUAUAGGAAGGAACACCAGUGGCGAAGGCGACUACCUGGACUGAUACUGACACUGAGGUGCGAAAGCGUGGGGAGCAAACAGG